rnacentral:rRNA from 1 species
UACGUAGGGUGCGAGCGUUGUCCGGAAUUAUUGGGCGGAAAGAGCUCGUAGGCGGCCUGUCGCGUCGGUUGUGAAAGCCCGGGGCUUAACCCCGGGUCUGCAGUCGAUACGGGCAGGCUAGAGUUCGGUAGGGGAGAUCGGAAUUCCUGGUGUAGCGGUGAAAUGCGUAGAUAUCGAGAGGAACACCUGCGGCGAAGGCGGGUUGCUGGGCUGACACUGACGCUGAGGCGCGAAAGCUAGGGGAGCGAACGGG